UAUUAGGCAAUCCAAACCACGUGACCUCUGGUUGGCACACAAACUAAAGAAGAGGUUAUGUUUGUGUCUAUUUUUCAAUGAUUUUUCAUUGUUUAUCGUCGUAUUUUGGAUUCAUUUGGAUUUCGUUUCCUGUUUUUGUGAACUUUAUAAACUUUACCACAAUGCGAACUGAUUAUUUAAGGAAAUUAUUAUUGGAAACUCCAGAUGUUGCGAGAAAGAUAUUUAUUGAAGCUAAAAAUAAUUGGGGAUUUAGAUCCAUACGGAAUUCAGUCAGAAUUGGAUUUUACAGUAAAGUGCAGUCCAUCAAGUUACUAUUAUAGAUAUGUAUUUAUACAGAUCUGGUGGAGUCUCACAGUUGCUACUCUAAGCAGCAGAUGAAAGCAUACAAAAGCCUUCAGGCACAUAAAUAUUUUACAGCUGGAUUUGUUUUGAAUGGAGUAAAAAUUGUUAAUGAUUUCCUGAUUUCCAUAUUAUUGUUGGAAAGGUGAAGCAUUUCCAAAAAGCUAAUGCUAAACGACUAAAUGCUUGGGUGGGGUGAUAGCCAGUUCUGAUGACAUAGCAAAUGCACAUUGUAUGCGUAUGGCCGGUAAUAGUGAAGUCUGCAGCCAUAUUGCAGCAAUCCUAUUUUUAGCUGAGUAUGCCCAGAGCAAGACAGACGAAGAAGAACCCAAUGCAUGUACAUAUGUUACAGCUACAUGGUUUGGAGAUAGCAACAUAUGCAUUCUCUGAUGAAAAACUAAUGAGUUUUGAAACUGUUCGGUCAGAGUGCUUGUUGCGCUCACUAAACGAACUGAAAUAUAAGAAGUCUUUGGCAUUGUGUUGCAGCGAUAUGAAAAUGGUUAUUCAUUUUUAAUUAUAAUGUACUUCUUCAUCAUGAGUAAUUAUGUAUUGGUCUUUUAGAUGUGUAUUUAUUUUUGUAAUUAGUAUCAACUUGUAAUGAUAAUAUACAUUUAUCAUUUAAGGUACGACUAUGUUUUGACUCUAAAAUAAAUGUUUUAAAAAUCGAAUCCUGCCUCUUUCUGUUAGUAACUACCCAUGGAUAUCACAAAUUGUGCUUACUGAUAGGUUUGUUCGUAGAACGAUCAGCAACUCUUGCCAACCAUCAGACACAUGCGCAUUCGUAGUCUAUGAAUGCUAACUAUUAACUGCACAACGCUAACUGUUAACUGCUCAUGCAUCUGAUGGUUGGCAGCAGUUGCUAAUCGUUUGUGUCGUACUACGAACAAACCUAUUAGGUCUGGAUCCUGUGUACCAAAAAAAUUGAUUAAUAGCAAGCUGAAAAUUUGUUAAUAGUUUAACGGUGUCCAGUUGGACAAACUUUGAUGUAUUGUGACACUGGAACAGGGGUAGUUUUAAUUGUGAAACAGUUUGGAAACUCAGAUUUGGAACAUCAGAUUACGAAAACAUCCCAUAAAUUUUGUCGGACAGAACAUCCAAUUGAUCUGUUACCCUUUCAUUAAAUUCUCAUGCAAAAAUCAGACUGCUAUUACUAACCAACAUGAUUCCUGUAGUUUGACAUGGUCUUCGUGUUCUACUCAUUAAAAUGCCCAGUUGGUGAUUUUUUCACCAGUCUGGUUUUUGCAUGAGAGUUUAAUGAAUUGGUAGCAAAUCAAUUGGAAGUUUUAUCUGACAAAUUACAUAAACAUUUUCGUAGUUUGACGUUCCAAAUUUUUAACCUGUUCUACAGUUAAAACUUCUAGUGUUCCCAUACAUCAAAGUUUGUCGGACUAGACACUGUUAAGCUAUUAAUAAAUUUUCAGCUU